GCGGCUUAAUUUGACUCAACGCGGGGUAAUUUACCAGGUAUAACAUGGUAUAAUAUUUUAUCAUGAUAGUGGUGCAUGGCCGUUUCCAAUGGAUGCUGUGAAGUAAUGAUUAAUUUCAACAAGAUGUGAGACCCUCGUUUAGACAGAUGUAGUGAUACAUAUGAAGGAGAGGAUUAAAACAGGUCCGUUAUGCCCUAAGAUAAUCUGGGUUGCACGCGCAAUACAAUAAUAUUUGGUAUUAUAAGGGAUAAUAUAAUGUAAGAUAUAUUUGAACAUGGAAUUGCUAGUAAAUUUUAUUUAAUAAGUAGAAUUGAAUGAGUCCCUGUUCUUUGUACACACCGCCCGUCGCUAUCUAAGAUGGUAUUAUCUAUGAACAAAUUUAUAAAGUGAAUAGAUAGUACUAGAUCUGAUAUAAGUCGUAACAUGGUUGCUGUUGGAGAACCAUUAGCAGGAUCAUAA
rnacentral:rRNA from 1 species